UUAGGUUAAAUUUUAUUAUGUGAUUAAUUAAAUUAAAUGUGAGAGACAUUUAAUUUAAUUAAUUAAUGUUAAGUUUGGUGAUUAAAACUUAAUAAGAGUGAAAAAAUGUGUCAAAAGUCAAUUUGGACUUUUCUUCUUAUAAACCUUUAUUAACCUUUAUAAAAAAAUAAAAAAUAAAUAAAAAAAAUUAAUGGUCAUAUAUAUGGAAAAUGAUGGCUGGCCAUGUGCUAUUUUAGAGUGGUGUGAACCCAAUUUUAUAAAAUUCAAAUCCCAUUUAAUUAAGAAGUCAAGUGGGCAAGUGGGUAGAAAAGCACUCAAGUGUUUUGUGAUAUUUUGAAGAGUUGUGUGAGCCAUUCUAACCCCCAAAUCCGACCACUCUCCCUCCCUCAUUCACUCUCAUCUGAUUUUUGAAGACUCUCUCAAGUGUUCUCUCCAUUUUCAACCCCAAGAACACCAAAGAAACUUGGAAGCUAAGUCUUGGUCUAGGAAGGGUUUUCCCUAAGGUAAAGUUUCAUUAAUCUAGACUUUUGUCAAGUUUUAAUCAUAGAGUUUCAAAUAGCUAAUUACCUAUGUUGUUGGAGGAAGUUGGUUAGGGUUUUUGAAAGGUUUUGAAGGAGUCAAAGCUUAUAGGAAGGUCCAAACCUUAAGCAAGAACACCAAAGAGGUAAGAGCAAAGGCAAGGCAGAGCAGUGAGCGUUGGAGUCUUCCUUGCAAAUGUACAUGUGGACCGACCUUUUGGGAAGCCUUUUUAUUUUUGGAAAUGUUGUGUAAUUUUCCUAAACUAGGCUCACUCUAAUCUUUGUAAAACAUGUUUGUAACUAAAUGUUAAGUAUGGCCAUACGACUUUUUAAAAAGUUUUUUUUUUC